rnacentral:rRNA from 1 species
GUGGGGAAUAUUGCACAAUGGGCGCAAGCCUGAUGCAGCAACGCCGCGUGAGGGACGACGGCCUUCGGGUUGUAAACCUCUUUUAGCAGGGAAGAAGCGAAAGUGACGGUACCUGCAGAAAAAGCACCGGCUAACUACGUGCCAGCAGCCGCGGUAAUACGUAGGGUGCAAGCGUUGUCCGGAAUUAUUGGGCGUAAAGAGCUCGUAGGCGGUUUGUCGCGUCUGCUGUGAAAACCCGAGGCUCAACCUCGGGCCUGCAGUGGGUACGGGCAGACUAGAGUGCGGUAGGGGAGAUUGGAAUUCCUGGUGUAGCGGUGGAAUGCGCAGAUAUCAGGAGGAACACCGAUGGCGAAGGCAGAUCUCUGGGCCGUAACUGACGCUGAGGAGCGAAAGCGUGGGGAGCGAACAGGAUUAGAAACCCGUGUAGUCC